rnacentral:rRNA from 1 species
GAUGAACGCUAACGUCAGGCGUAACACAUGCAAGUCGAGGGAGAGGUUACCUUCGGGUAACCAAAACCGGCGCACGGGUGCGUAACGCGUAUACAAUCUGCCUUUCACAUAGGGAUAGCCUCGAAGAAAUUUGGAUUAAUACCUAAUGGUAUAUAAGAAGGGCAUCGUUUUUAUAUUAAAGCUACGGUGGUGAAAGAUGAGUAUGCGUUCUAUUAGCUAGUUGGAGAGGUAACGGCCUACCAAGGCGACGAUGGGUAGCCGGCCUGAGAGGGUGAACGGCCACAUUGGAACUGAGAAACGGUCCAAACUCCUACGGGAGGCAGCAGUGGGGAAUAUUGCACAAUGGAGGGAACUCUGAUGCAGCGACGCCGCGUGAACGAAGAAGGCUUUCGAGUCGUAAAGUUCUUUUAUAUGGGAAGAUAAUGACGGUACCAUAAGAAAAAGCCCCGGCUAACUACGUGCCAGCAGCCGCGGUAAUACGUAGGGGGCUAGCGUUGUCCGGAAUCACUGGGCGUAAAGGGUUCGCAGGCGGAAAUGCAAGUCAGGUGUAAAAGGCAGUAGCUUAACUACUGUAAGCAUUUGAAACUGCAUAUCUUGAGAAGAGUAGAGGUAAGUGGAAUUUUUAGUGUAGCGGUGAAAUGCGUAGAUAUUAAAAAGAAUACCGGUGGCGAAGGCGACUUACUGGGCUCAUUCUGACGCUGAGGAACGAAAGCGUGGGUAGCAAACAGG